CAGUCGCCGCGGGAAUACGUAGGGUGCAAGCGUUAAUCGGAAUUACUGGGCGUAAAGCGUGCGCAGGCGGUUAUAUAAGACAGAUGUGAAAUCCCCGGGCUCAACCUGGGAACUGCAUUUGUGACUGUAUAGCUAGAGUACGGCAGAGGGGGAUGGAAUUCCGCGUGUAGCAGUGAAAUGCGUAGAUAUGCGGAGGAACACCGAUGGCGAAGGCAAUCCCCUGGGCCUGUACUGACGCUCAUGCACGAAAGCGUGGGGAGCAAACAGGAUUAGAUACCCCUGUAGUCACUGUCUCUUAUAC
rnacentral:rRNA from 1 species